rnacentral:lncRNA from 1 species
CAGACAGGCAGACAAGCGGCAAACCAAAAAAUGACAGUUCGUAUGUCACAAGUGCUCACUGUUGACUUUAAAAUCACAUUCAAGAGUUCCCUGCUCCAUGCAGAGACAUACACACACACACACACACACACACACACACACACACACAUGCAGAUUUCCAGUUCAAUUACACGACUGGGGCGUUGCAUGCCACGACUGCAGACUGCCACAACUCCUGCAGGCAGCUGAAGCUCCCUUCCUCACUGUGGCUGUCGCUGGCCACCCACACACACAUGUUUAUUGAAAGGUUACAUGAAUGACACACACGCCACAGAAAUAGAGGCAGAAAGUGAAGCACCACCCACCCAUCCACACAGACAUCGACAUCGACUUCGCCAUCAACAUCGACAUCGACCCGGGGGCAGGCCAUUUGCAUUGGCUGCCUGUAUCCUUUUGGAUUCGUUCUCAGUUCGCAGUUCUCUCCCCUCUGUUUUUCAAUGCAUUAAGUGAAUGUAUCUGAUAUACAGUCGCACACAGGCACAAAUAUGCAUGUGACAUGACAAUGGGCAUGCAUUUAGGAGCACGAACAUGCCGGAGACGAGCAUCGAGCAAACGAGAGGCAAGCAGCAGCAGCAGCAGCAGCAGUCUGCGGCCAAUUGCAACAGACGCCGCUGUCUGGCAGCUCGUUACGUGCCGUCACGACACUCUUCCCCCCACUUUUGGUUUACCCCUUAAAGAGCUUCACACAAUUUGUUGACUUUAAAGUACAAACAAAUCUACAUGGAUAUUUGUAUAUAUUUACAUUUUUCUGGUCAUUGACUAGAUGUCCCUUUUUGGCUUUGCUUGAUGGAUGAUUUUUGGAAAUUGAUUGAUGUUGGAACUUUGAAAACUUGGCAAAGAUUGUAGCUGAAGAUUGAAAAGGAAAUCCUCAAACUUAAUGAGUUAAUCAAUGUCUUAAGCAAACCUUACUUCAGCAAUCACUUAUCUCUACCCGAAAAUUCCC